rnacentral:rRNA from 1 species
GACGAACGCUGGCGGCGUGCUUAACACAUGCAAGUCGAACGGAAAGGCCCUGCUUUUGUGGGGUGCUCGAGUGGCGAACGGGUGAGUAACACGUGAGUAACCUGCCCUUGACUUUGGGAUAACUUCAGGAAACUGGGGCUAAUACCGGAUAGGAGCUCCUGCUGCAUGGUGGGGGUUGGAAAGUUUCGGCGGUUGGGGAUGGACUCGCGGCUUAUCAGCUUGUUGGUGGGGUAGUGGCUUACCAAGGCUUUGACGGGUAGCCGGCCUGAGAGGGUGACCGGCCACAUUGGGACUGAGAUACGGCCCAGACUCCUACGGGAGUCAGCAGUGGGGAAUAUUGCACAAUGGGGGGAAGCCUGAUGCAGCAACGCCGCGUGCGGGAUGACGGCCUUCGGGUUGUAAACCGCUUUCGCCUGUGACGAAGCGUGAGUGACGGUAAUGGGUAAAGAAGCACCGGCUAACUACGUG